CCUCCGAUCACCGUGAUGUGGACGUGAGUCUGACAAGAUCUCAGCAGUGGACCGAGAUGUACAGCCUAACAAGAGAAGCGCUGGACGUUAUUGAAGUCUGUGAUGACCACUCGUCCUUCAACCUCUCUGUGAGAACUCUGAACACUGCCAUCCAUCAGAUACACCUCCGCCAACCCUCCAUCAUCUGCAGAGGACGGAAGGUGCUACCAAGAGGCUGCAGUAACCUCUGAAGGUUCCAAGGGGCGCUCUGAGCAAAGAUGGAUGAGUCCUCUUCUAUAUAUUGGACAUGAGGGAGCAUCACCGCCUGAGAGGAACACAUACAUAAUGUUUUUAUGUGGGUGUGAUCAAAAAUGAGCCCUUUAUAUCUACAGAGGGAGCG